rnacentral:rRNA from 1 species
UACGUAGGGUGCGAGCGUUAAUCGGAAUUACUGGGCGUAAAGAGCGCGCAGGCGGCUGGUCAAGUCCGAUGUGAAAGCUCCCGGCUUAACUGGGAAAUUGCAUCGGAAACUGAUCGGCUGGAAGGUGGGAGAGGGUAGCGGAAUUCCCGGUGUAGUGGUGAAAUGCGUAGAUAUCGGGAGGAACACCAGUGGCGAAAGCGGCUACCUGGCCCAUUCUUGACGCUGAGGCGCGAAAGCUAGGGGAGCAAACGGG